UUGGGUCCUGGAUGCUGAUUGUCCCCCCCCCCCAUUUCAGAGUUCACAAUAUUCAUAUGCCAUUUGGAGUGCAGAGCAGCAAAGCAUUUUCACUGCCCAUACUGCCCCAAGACCUAUGUAAAUAGGAGUGAUUUUACCAAACACAUUCCACAAUGUGAGUCAGUAUGUGGGCGAGACCCAGGUGCAACUGCGAGAGGCCCAGAUGUAACCAGUGCAACUGCGAGAGGCCCAGGUUCAGCGUGUCCAGCUAUGAGACCUGCAAGCAAGAGGAAAAUCAAAUGUCGUAACUGCAGUUUAUGGCUUAACAAAAAUAGCCUGAAGAAACAUCAAUUAAGGAAGCAUACAUCUGCUGAGAAGUACAUUACUGCUCACUCCAAUCUCAAAAGACAGUGCUUUGACCAGGACAAUUGGGUGUUUGCAGAGGAUCAACACAUUUUCCCUGUCUCUCCUUCUCCUGGUGAGCAGCAAUACAUAAUAUAUACACUGAGUGUACCACCAUUAUGAACACCUUCCUAAUAUUGAAUUGCACACCCCCCUUUUCCCUCAGCCUCAAUUCGUCGGGCCAUUGACUCCACAAGGUGUCGAAAGCGUUCCACAGGGAUGCUGGUCCAUGUUGACUCCAAUGCUUCCUACAGUUGUGUCAAGUUGGCUGGAGGACCAUUCUUGAUGCACAUGGGAAACUGUUAAGCGUAAAAAAUCCAGCAGCGUUGCCGUUCUUGACACACAAACCGGUGCGCCUGGCACGUACAACCAUACCCUGUUCAAAGGCACUUAAAUAUUUUCUCUUGCCCAUUCACCCUCUGAAUGGCACACAUACACAAUCCAUGUCUCAAUUGUGUCAAGGAUUAAAAAUCCUUCUUUAACCUGUCUCCUCCCCUUCAUCUACACUGAUUGAAGUGGAUUUAACAAGUGACAUCAAUAAGGGAUCAUAGCUUUUACCUGGUCAGUAUGUCAUGGAAAGAGCUGUUCCUAAUGUUUUGUAAAAUCUGUAUAUGAUGAUAAUAAAAUAUAUAAUGUAUUCCAUUUACAUAUGCCAAUACCUCACUCAUAUUUCAGUACCAGCGGUGGAGGGAGAGAUGGGAAGGAUGUGCCCAUUCUACGCCGAGGUUACCCACUGGGCACAGACGUCAAUUCAACGUCAAUUCCACGUUGAUUCAACAUAAUUUCAUUGAAAUGGCAUGCAAACAACGUUGAUUCAACCAGUGUGUGCCCAGUGGGUAGACACAUCUUCCAUGUCUCCCCUGCUCCUGGUGGGCAGCAAUAUACACUUACCUCAUUCUUGUCUACCUUGUUGUGUUAUAGAUUAAAUGCCCCUUAAAAUGUCUUUCAGCGUUCAUUCGGGAAAUGCUUACCAAGCAAGAGGUGAUACUGGAACAACAGACACUCAUCCUACGACUGUUACAAACAGGACAGCAGAAUGGAGCAGAAUAUGCGAUUGAAAAUGGCCUUCUGCCAUUGAAGGAUCAGCAAGGUCUCCAGAGCCUGGAAACUGAUCUUCAGGGGGCUGACUUCAAACUUAAAAUGAUUAACCACUUGAGACUAAUUGGGGGAUGCGACGUGAAAGAUGCUGUGUGGCGUUUAAUGAUGCGCACAAUUUCUAAACCCGCAAGCAAAAAACAUGAAUCGGAGAGGAGUAAAUAGAAAAAUGUCUCUUGCAUCCCUUCGACUGUGGGAGGUUUUGCUAAAACCAAUGGUUAAAAUCACUUUAGCAAUGAGAUGAACUGAGCAGUGGGUCUGCAAAUGUACCGGAUGUCACUCAGUCAGGCACUGUUGUGUGAUACCUCAAAGUAUGUGUGGGUAAAACACACACUCACACACACACACAAGGGUAAGGAUGUUUUGAAUCAUUCUCACAGAAAUGUAAGAACAUAAGAUGUAGUUCACAAUGAAAGUUUCACACAGUGAAAAUAUGAGUGCCAC